rnacentral:lncRNA from 1 species
CCCACCCCCACCCCCCUCGUGCCCGCUCCGCUACGUAUUCCCGUAUUCCCGGGUGCCUGGCAACAGUGAUGUGCUUUAGGCCUUUUUUAGAAUGCAUACAAACGGAACCAUAUCUAAGUGAUGUCUGGCUUUUUUAACUUAGCACAAUGCUUUGAGAUUCAUACUAUUGUGUUUAAUUAGUAAUUCAUUUGUGUUAUUGUUGAAUGGUAGUCUAUCAUAUGGGUAAGCCACAGUUUAUUUAUCCAUUCACCAAUUGAUGGGCCUGUCGGUUGUAGGGAACAGGAGAAAACUUCCCCUUUGCCCUCUGAAGGGUCACCGAAAAUCAACUGACAAGGCUGGGCCUGGGCUCCUGCCUGUAACCCCAGCCCUUUUUUAGCCCAAGGCAGGAGGAUCUCUUCUUUGUGAAGUGUGUAUUCAAAUCUUUUGACCAUUUAUUUAUUAGCUAGCUUGACUUUUUAUCUAAGAGUUCUUUAUAUAUUAUUGAGUUCUUUAUAUGUUUCAUACCAUGUUCUUUAUUAGCUAUACGUUUUGAAAUGUUUUCUACCUGUCUGUGGCUUGCCUCUUCAUUUUAAGUGUCUUUUGAAGCACUGAAGUUUUCAAUUUUGAUGUAAUUUAUCCAUUUUUUUCUUUUACAUAGUUCAUACCUUUUUUGUCCUACUUAAGACAUUUUUGCUAAAUUCAAGAUUAUAAGAUUUCCUCAUUUGUUACCUUCUGGAAGUUUUAUAAUUGUUGGUCUUCAUUAUAUUUAAAAUGAAUUAUUCUUUAUAGUAUCGAUAGAUGCUGGAGGCAGAUAAGGGAGGGUCCCUGGAGAAUCUCUGACCUGCCUCACAAGCUUUUGUGCAGCUGAGGAAGCCUGCCCAGGGUCUUGUCUGGGCAUGCCCACAAGGGACUUGGGGGCCCACUGCACCAGGAGAGUGGGGUGCAGCCAGAGGGAAUUCAGCCUUAUGCAGCAGGGAUGAGCAAGAAGUCUUCAGCUUGUGUGUGUUGGCCUGUUAUUCAGUCUGUGAGCUGGGAGCCUGUUGGCAGGACCCUCCUUGUUUUUUUGCUAAGAGCUUUUAAUAAAUGCCACUCUUCACCUUGCAAUGUAUUCACAUGCCUAAUUGUUCCUGGUCAUGAGACAAGAACCUGGAUUUUAGCUGAGCUAAGGAGCAAAAAUUCCUGCAUCAGUAUGAGGUGUAAGGAAGAACAGAAGGAUCCAAGUGUGAGAAAGCCCACCCUGAGUCUCUCAGAGAUUCAUUUCACUACCAGGUCAAAGACACAAUCAAAAGCCCGACAAAUGGAAUUUGUGGAAUUGGAACAAAAAGCUUUUCUUCCUAGGCACAAGAACAUCAAAGCAUAAAUCCUUCAGGUAUCAGCAAUGACAUCACUUAAGAAUUUCUCAGAAUCUUUGGCACCACCCCAGGCCUACCGGAUCAGAAUCUGAAUUUUUUAACAAGAUCUCAGAUCUAGUCAAGAGUCCAGUCUGAUUUCUCUUUAUUGGGACUACCACCCAAAGCAGAAUGAGGAUGAUGUAACCACGCCCAGUGACUUCUGGAUACCACUGACUCUAGAUCCUGAAUUCCAGCAGAAUGGCUGACACCAACUGGUCUGAAGACCCUCACCAAGGAACUGACUCAGUGCAGGAAUGCAGUUUCUUCAUCUCCCUAUCCCUGACUUCACCCCUCACUUCUCAACCAAUCAGUGAUCACCACACUUUAGGCCAUCACCUGUGUCCAGACCCCUUAAAAACCCCAUCUGCAAACCUCUUGAAGAGGCAUAUUUGAGGUUUCCUCUCAUCUCCUCAUUUGGUUUCCCUACAAUUAUUAAAUUCUUUCUCUGCUGCAACUCCUACUUUUUCAGUGUAUUGGUCUGUUACUGUGCAACAGGAAAUCAGACCUGGUGGUCCUAUAGUAAGAGUUCACAGAAUAUGAUAUACAAAGUGAUCUGUGAUAUACAAAAACCGGCACAAUCUCACUCUUAAUAAGAAAAAUUCAACUUAAAAUUAAAAGUUUUUUUUCCUCAGAAUGGCAAAGAUCAAAGUUUGAUAACAUGGUUGGAAAGUAUGCAGACCGAUAUUCUCAUAUUCAUUGAUGAAGUGUAAAUUGAUACAUCCUUUGUCAGUACGGACAGGUUUCCCAACUCUAGGGGUGAAAUUUAUACAGACUACAGUGUGAAUGACAACCACUUCAAAUUGGGUGAUAUGAUGACCUUGACUCUGUGGAGGGUCAUUUGGCAAAAUAUCUCAAAAUAAAAAUGUACAUACAAUUUGA